GACGAACGCUGGCGGCGUGCUUAACACAUGCAAGUCGAACGAAGUGGCGAACGGGUGAGUAACGCUAAUCAACCUGCCCUUCAGAGGGGGACAACAGUUGGAAACGACUGCUAAUACCGCAUACUCAUAGAUGAGCCUAAGUCGGAUUAGCUAGUUGGUGGGGUAAAGGCCUACCAAGGCGACGAUCUGUAGCGGGUCUGAGAGGAUGAUCCGCCACACUGGGACGGAGACACGGCCCAGACUCCUCCGGGAGGCAGCAGUGGGGAAUAUUGCACAAUGGGCGCAAGCCUGAUGCAGCCAUGCCGCGUGUAUGAAGAAGGCCCUAGGGUUGUAAAGUACUUUCAGUCGGGAGGCGUUACCGACAGAAGAAGCACCGGCUAACUCCGUGCCAGCAGCCGCGGUAAUUC
rnacentral:rRNA from 1 species